rnacentral:rRNA from 1 species
GCGGACGGGUGAGUAAUACUUAGGAAUCUGCCUAUUAGUGGGGGACAACAUCUCGAAAGGGAUGCUAAUACCGCAUACGUCCUACGGGAGAAAGCAGGGGAUCUUUAUGACCUUGCGCUAAUAGAUGAGCCUAAGUCGGAUUAGCUAGUUGGUGGGGUAAAGGCCUACCAAGGCGACGAUCUGUAGCGGGUCUGAGAGGAUGAUCCGCCACACUGGGACUGAGACACGGCCCAGACUCCUACGGGAGGCAGCAGUGGGGAAUAUUGGACAAUGGGGGGAACCCUGAUCCAGCCAUGCCGCGUGUGUGAAGAAGGCCUUAUGGUUGUAAAGCACUUUAAGCGAGGAGGAGGCUUACCUAGUUAAUACCUGGGAUAAGUGGACGUUACUCGCAGAAUAAGCACCGGCUAACUCUGUGCCAGCAGCCGCGGUAAUACAGAGGGUGCAAGCGUUAAUCGGAUUUACUGGGCGUAAAGCGCGCGUAGGCGGCCAAUUAAGUCAAAUGUGAAAUCCCCGAGCUUAACUUGGGAAUUGCAUUCGAUACUGUUUGGCUAGAGUGUGGGAGAGGAUGGUAGAAUUCCAGGUGUAGCGCGGUGAAAUGCGUAGAUAUAGGAAGGAACACCAGUGGCGAAGGCGACCACCUGGA